rnacentral:rRNA from 1 species
UAUGCAGCGAAACUGCAAAUGGCUCAUUAUAUAAGUUAUCGUUUAUUUGAUAGUGCCUUACCACUUGGAUAACCGUGGUAAUUCUAGAGCUAAUACAUGCUGAAAACCCCGACUUCGGAAGGGACGUAUUUAUUAGAUUCAAAACCAAUGCCCUCCGGGCGCACUGGUGAUUCAGAAUAACUUUUCGAAUCGCACGGCCUUGCGCCGGCGAUGGUUCAAUCAAAUUUCUUCCCUAUCAACUUUCGAUGUUUGGGUAUUGGCCAAACAUGGUUGUAACGGGUAACGGAGGGUUAGGGCUCGACCCCGGAGAAGGAGCCUGAGAAACGGCUACUACAUCCAAGGAAGGCAGCAGGCGCGCAAAUUACCCAAUCCCGAUUCGGGGAGGUAGUGACAAUAAAUACUGAUACAGGGCUCUUUUGGGCCUUGUAAUUGGAAUGAGUACAAUUUAAAUCUCUUAACGAGGAACAAUUGGAGGGCAAGUCUGGUGCCAGCAGCCGCGGUAAUUCCAGCUCCCAUAGCGUAUAUUAAAGUUGUUGUGGUUAAAAAGCUCGUAGUUGAACCUUGGGCCUGGCUGGCCGGUCCGCCUCACCGCGUGCACUGGUCCGGCCGGGUCUUUCCUUCUGUGGAACCCCAUGCCCUUCACUGGGUGUGGCGGGGAAACAGGACCUUUACUUUGAAAAAAUUAGAGUGCUCCAGGCAGGCCUAUGCUCGAAUACAUUAGCAUGGAAUAAUGAAAUAGGACGCGUGGUUCUAUUUUGUUGGUUUCUAGGACCGCCGUAAUGGUUAAUAGGGACAGUCGGGGGCAUCAGUAUUCAAUUGUCAGAGGUGAAAUUCUUAGAUCAAUUGAAGACUAACUACUGCGAAAGCAUUUGCCAAGGAUGUUUUCAUUAAUCAGGAACGAAAGUUAGGGGAUCGAAGACGAUCAGAUACCGUCGUAGUCUUAACCAUAAACUAUGCCGACUAGGGAUCGGACGAUGUUAUUUUUUGACGCGUUCGGCACCUUACGAGAAAUCAAAGUGCUUGGGCUCCAGGGGGAGUAUGGUCGCAAGGCUGAACUUA